CACUCUCUCUCUCUCUUCAAAUCAAAACCAAACGAAAGGGCUCUAUACAAAGCGCCUCCCUCUGCAAACCCUAAAGCUCCUCUCUCUUGGAGAAGACGACCGGAGACGGCGGCUCACGGCGGAGCCUCCGCUCUUCUUCGUCGCUUCAUUUUCUCCCUCUCCUAACUCUGUUUCAUGAACCAACCCUCUUUCUCCUUCUCAUAAUUUCGAGACACAUAACAUAAAAUCAUGCGAAAACAAACUCAACCGAAAUAUCUACAAAAAGGGAAACUCAUGGAAGAAGAUAGGUGUGAAUCGUUUACCAAAUCGGAAGCUCUGAAAAUCUCCGGCUUCGGUGAGAUCCUCCGGAUGCCGGCAACGAUUCUCUUCGGCGAGCGAUGCUUCAGU
rnacentral:lncRNA from 1 species